GAUGAACGCUAGCUACAGGCUUAACACAUGCAAGUCGAGGGGCAGCAUGAUUGAAGCUUGCUUCAAUCGAUGGCGACCGGCGCACGGGUGAGUAACACGUAUCCAACCUGCCGAUAACUCGGGGAUAGCCUUUCGAAAGAAAGAUUAAUACCCGAUAGUAUAGUAUUUCCGCAUGGUUUCACUAUUAAAGAACUUCGGUUAUCGAUGGGGAUGCGUUCCAUUAGAUAGUUGGCGGGGUAACGGCCCACCAAGUCAACGAUGGAUAGGGGUUCUGAGAGGAAGGUCCCCCACAUUGGAACUGAGACACGGUCCAAACUCCUACGGGAGGCAGCAGUGAGGAAUAUUGGUCAAUGGACGAGAGUCUGAACCAGCCAAGUAGCGUGAAGGAUGACUGCCCUAUGGGUUGUAAACUUCUUUUAUACGGGAAUAAAGUGGAGUAUGCAUACUCCUUUGUAUGUACCGGAGGAAUAAAGAUCGGCUAACUCCGU
rnacentral:rRNA from 1 species